UUGCAAGGUUGAUAUUACCGCUGCUUACAUCCAGAAAACUAAACUAUUCUGAACUUAAACGCUAACUCUACCUUGUGGCAUUUUCUGGACCUGAAAUAUUAAUAAUGCAUUAGAAUGUCAUCCUUGAGGAAGGAAGAAAAAAAACUUGGUACAAUGGGAUCUGAUUACUACAUCUUUGGACGCUGAUAGUUAUAAGGCUCGUUGAGACAAACCCAAAUUGAUCCCAUGAAAAUCUUCCGUUUUAUUGCAUUCGGAUGUGUCACAGUAAAACGAGGACUUUUGCAAGGACAUGUCUUUUUCAAACGAAGAAAGCUUAAUGUCAAUAUUGACUAAACCUUGUAUAAUGUUUUCAAAAUGCCUUUCUUUUCUAACACCUGUACACUUGUCUACUUUGAAAUAAAUAAUGAAAGUAUA